GGGUUGUGAGGUUAAGCGAAUAAGCGUACACGGUGGAUGCCUAGGCAGUCAGAGGCGAUGAAGGACGUGCUAAUCUGCGAUAAGCGCCGGUAAGGUGAUAUGAACCGUUAUAACCGGCGAUUUCCGAAUGGGGAAACCCAGUGUGAUUCGUCACACUAUCAUUAACUGAAUCCAUAGGUUAAUGAGGCGAACCGGGGGAACUGAAACAUCUAAGUACCCCGAGGAAAAGAAAUCAACCGAGAUUCCCCCAGUAGCGGCGAGCGAACGGGGAGGAGCCCAGAGCCUGAAUCAGCAUGUGUGUUAGUGGAAGCGUCUGGAAAGGCGCGCGAUACAGGGUGACAGCCCCGUACACAAAAGCGCAUGUGCUGUGAGCUCGAUGAGUAGGGCGGGACACGUGGUAUCCUGUCUGAAUAUGGGGGGACCAUCCUCCAAGGCUAAAUACUCCUGACUGACCGAUAGUGAACCAGUACCGUGAGGGAAAGGCGAAAAGAACCCCGGCGAGGGGAGUGAAAAAGAACCUGAAACCGUGUACGUACAAGCAGUGGGAGCCCCACCACUAAGCCAGUGGUGAACUCCACAUCCGCAUCCUUUGCUGAGGAUACGGUUAACGGAGCGAAAGCGACGUUCAACCGCAAAACAAGCAGAGGGGGCUUAGUGGUGGGGUGACUGCGUACCUUUUGUAUAAUGGGUCAGCGACUUAUAUUCUGUAGCAAGGUUAACCGAAUAGGGGAGCCGGAGGGAAACCGAGUCUUAAUUGGGCGUUAAGUUGCAGGGUAUAGACCCGAAACCCGGUGAUCUAGCCAUGGGCAGGUUGAAGGUUGGGUAACACUAACUGGAGGACCGAACCGACUAAUGUUGAAAAAUUAGCGGAUGACCUGUGGCUGGGGGUGAAAGGCCAAUCAAACCGGGAGAUAGCUGGUUCUCCCCGAAAGCUAUUUAGGUAGCGCCUCGUGAAUUCAUCUCCGGGGGUAGAGCACUGUUUCGGCUAGGGGGCCAUCCCGGCUUACCAACCCGAUGCAAACUGCGAAUACCGGAGAAUGUUAUCACGGGAGACACACGGCGGGUGCUAACGUCCGUCGUGAAGAGGGAAACAACCCAGACCGCCAGCUAAGGUCCCAAAGUCAUGGUUAAGUGGGAAACGAUGUGGGAAGGCCCAGACAGCCAGGAUGUUGGCUUAGAAGCAGCCAUCAUUUAAAGAAAGCGUAAUAGCUCACUGGUCGAGUCGGCCUGCGCGGAAGAUGUAACGGGGCUAAACCAUGCACCGAAGCUGCGGCAGCGAACGUAUCACCCAAGACAACUUUACGGAGUUGACGAUUGACGGAGCGAAGCGACGUCAAAGCGUUCAUUAAAGUCGAGUUGGCUUAGGGAUACGUUCGUUGGGUAGGGGAGCGUUCUGUAAGCCUGUGAAGGUGUGUCGUGAGGCAUGCUGGAGGUAUCAGAAGUGCGAAUGCUGACAUAAGUAACGAUAAAGCGGGUGAAAAGCCCGCUCGCCGGAAGACCAAGGGUUCCUGUCCAACGUUAAUCGGGGCAGGGUGAGUCGACCCCUAAGGCGAGGCCGAAAGGCGUAGUCGAUGGGAAACGGGUUAAUAUUCCCGUACUUGGUGUUACUGCGAAGGGGGGACGGAGAAGGCUAUGUUGGCCGGGCGACGGUUGUCCCGGUUUAAGCGUGUAGGUGUGUGUUCCAGGUAAAUCCGGUUCACUUUAACACUGAGGCGUGACGACGAGGCACUACGGUGCUGAAGCAACAAAUGCCCUGCUUCCAGGAAAAGCCUCUAAGCAUCAGGUAACACGAAAUCGU
rnacentral:rRNA from 1 species